CUUUUACAAUGAAGAGUUUGAUCCUGGCUCAGGAUGAACGCUAGCUACAGGCUUAACACAUGCAAGUCGAGGGGCAUCAGGAAGAAAGCUUGCUUUCUUUGCUGGCGACCGGCGCAC
rnacentral:rRNA from 1 species